GACGUAGGGCGCGAGCGUUGUCCGGAUUUAUUGGGCGUAAAGAGCUCGUAGGCGGCUUGUUGCGUCGGCUGUGAAAACCCAUGGCUCAACCGUGGGCUUGCAGCCGAUACGGGCAGGCUAGAGUUCGGUAGGGGAGACUGGAAUUCCGGGUGUAGUGGUGGAAUGCGUAGAGAUCCGGAGGAACACCAGCGGCGAAGGCGGCAUCCUGGACUGGUCCUGACACUCAUGAGCGAAAGCGUGGGGAGCGAUCCGG
rnacentral:rRNA from 1 species